rnacentral:rRNA from 1 species
UACGGGGGGGGCAAGCGUUGUUCGGAAUUACUGGGCGUAAAGGGCUCGUAGGUGGCCAACUAAGUCAGACGUGAAAUCCCUCGGCUUAACCGGGGAACUGCGUCUGAUACUGGAUGGCUUGAGAUUGGGAGAGGGAUGCGGAAUUCCAGGUGUAGCGGUGAAAUGCGUAGAGAUCGGGAGGAACAUCUGUGGCGAAGGCGGCCACCUGGACCAGCACUGACACUGAGGCACGAAAGCGUGGGGAGCAAACAGG